AGACCCGAAACCCGGUGAUCUAGCCAUGGGCAGGUUGAAGGUUGGGUAACACUAACUGGAGGACCGAACCGACUAAUGUUGAAAAAUUAGCGGAUGACCUGUGGCUGGGGGUGAAAGGCCAAUCAAACCGGGAGAUAGCUGGUUCUCCCCGAAAGCUAUUUAGGUAGCGCCUCGUGAAUUCAUCUCCGGGGGUAGAGCACUGUUUCGGCUAGGGGGCCAUCCCGGCUUACCAACCCGAUGCAAACUGCGAAUACCGGAGAAUGUUAUCACGGGAGACACACGGCGGGUGCUAACGUCCGUCGUGAAGAGGGAAACAACCCAGACCGCCAGCUAAGGUCCCAAAGUCAUGGUUAAGUGGGAAACGAUGUGGGAAGGCCCAGACAGCCAGGAUGUUGGCUUAGAAGCAGCCAUCAUUUAAAGAAAGCGUAAUAGCUCACUGGUCGAGUCGGCCUGCGCGGAAGAUGUAACGGGGCUAAACCAUGCACCGAAGCUGCGGCAGCGAACGUAUCACCCAAGACAACUUUACGGAGUUGACGAUUGACGGAGCGAAGCGACGUCAAAGCGUUCAUUAAAGUCGAGUUGGCUUAGGGAUACGUUCGUUGGGUAGGGGAGCGUUCUGUAAGCCUGUGAAGGUGUGUCGUGAGGCAUGCUGGAGGUAUCAGAAGUGCGAAUGCUGACAUAAGUAACGAUAAAGCGGGUGAAAAGCCCGCUCGCCGGAAGACCAAGGGUUCCUGUCCAACGUUAAUCGGGGCAGGGUGAGUCGACCCCUAAGGCGAGGCCGAAAGGCGUAGUCGAUGGGAAACGGGUUAAUAUUCCCGUACUUGGUGUUACUGCGAAGGGGGGACGGAGAAGG
rnacentral:rRNA from 3 species